rnacentral:rRNA from 2 species
GCGUAGGAUCUACCUUUUUUCUACGGGGAUAACGCAUGGAAAACGUGUGCUAAUACCGUAUACGCCCUAUUGGGGGAAAGAUUUUAUUGGAGAGAGAUGAGCCUGCGUUGGAUUAGCUAGUUGGUAGGGUAAGAGCCUACCAAGGCUACGAUCUAUAGCUGGUCUGAGAGGACGAUCAGCCACACUGGGACUGAGACACGGCCCAGACUCCUACGGGAGGCAGCAGUGGGGAAUAUUGGACAAUGGGGGCAACCCUGAUCCAGCCAUGCCGCGUGAGUGAAGAAGGCCUUAGGGUUGUAAAGCUCUUUCGCCGGAGAAGAUAAUGACGGUAUUCGGAGAAGAAGCCCCGGCUAACUUCGUGCCAGCAGCCGCGGUAAUACGAAGGGGGCGAGCGUUGUUCGGAAUAACUGGGCGUAAAGGGCGCGUAGGCGGGCGAUUAAGUUAGAGGUGAAAUCCCAGGGCUCAACCUUGGAACUGCCUUUAAUACUGGUUGUCUAGAGUUUAGGAGAGGUGAGUGGAAUUCCGAGUGUAGAGGUGAAAUUCGUAGAUAUUCGGAGGAACACCGGUGGCGAAGGCGGCUCACUGGCCUGAUACUGACGCUGAGGCGCGAAAGCGUGGGGAGCAAACAGGAUUAGAUACCCUGGUAGUCCACGCCGUAAACGAUGAGUGCUAGCUGUUGGGUGGUUUACCAUUCAGUGGCGCAGCUAACGCAUUAAGCACUCCGCCUGGGGAGUACGGUCGCAAGAUUAAAACUCAUAGGAAUUGACGGAGGCCCGCACAAGCGGUGGAGCAUGUGGUUUAAUUCGAUGCAGCGCGCAGAACCUUACCAGCCCUUGACAUGUAUAGGACGAUAUCAGAGAUGGUAUUUUCUUUUCGGAGACCUUUACACAGGUGCUGCAUGGCUGUCGUCACCUCGUGUCGUGAGAUGUUGGGUUAAGUCUCGCAACGAGCGCAACCUCUGCCUCUAUUUGCCAUCAAGUUUAGGUUU